CCUAGGCAGACUGCCUUCCACGGCUAACGACCUCCACCUGUCCGGGUUUGUUGUUCGGAGUUUGCUCUCCUAGGCAGACUGCCUUCCACGGCUAACGACCUCCACCUGUCCGGGUUUGUUGUUCGGAGUUUGCUCUCCUAGGCAGACUGCCUUCCACGGCUAACGACCUCCACCUGUCCGGGUUUGUUGUUCGGAGUUUGCUCUCCUAGGUGGACUGCCUUCCACGGCUAACGACCUCCACCUGUCCGGGUUUGUUGUUCGGAGUUUGCUCUCCUAGGUGGACUGCCUUCCACGGCUAACGACCUCCACCUGUCCGGGUUUGUUGUUCGGAGUUUGCUCUCCUAGGUGGACUGCCUUCCACGGCUAACGACCUCCACCUGCCCGGGUUUGUUGUUCGGAGUUUGCUCUCCUAGGCAGAUUGCCUACCACGGCUAACGACCUCCACCUGUCCGGGUUUAUUGUUCGGAGUUUGCUCUCCUAGGCAGACUGCCUACCACGGCUAACGACCUCCACCUGUCCGGGUUUGUUGUUCGGAGUUUGCUCUCCUAGGUAGAUUGCCUACCACGGCUAACGACCUCCACCUGUCCGGGUUUGUUGUUCGGAGUUUGCUCUCCUAGGUAGAUUGCCUACCACGGCUAACGACCUCCACCUGUCCGGGUUUGUUGUUCGGAGUUUGCUCUCCUAGGCAGAUUGCCUACCACGGCUAACGACCUCCACCUGUCCGGGUUUGUUGUUCGGAGUUUGCUCUCCUAGGUAGAUUGCCUACCACGGCUAACGACCUCCACCUGUCCGGGUUUGUUGUUCGGAGUUUGCUCUCCUAGGCAGAUUGCCUACCACGGCUAACGACCUCCACCUGUCCGGGUUUGUUGUUCGGAGUUUGCUCUCCUAGGUGUAUUGCCUACCACGGCUAACGACCUCCACCUGUCC